UCCCCGUUACCGGGGCAGUCUGAAUAGAAAAAUACAACUAUUCACAAGGGUUGCGCUCGUUGAUGGACUUAACCAAACAUCUCACGACACGAGCUGACGACGGCCAUGCAACAUCUGUCACUUGGCUCAAUAAAGCACUCACUUCUUUCGAGGUGAUUCCAAGGAUGUCAAGCCCUGGUAAGGUUCUACGUUUACCAUCGAAUUAAAGAACACGAUCCACCGCUUGUGCGGGUCCCCGUCAAUUCCUUUAUGUUUUAGCCUUGCGGCCGUACUACACAGGCGGGAUACUUAACGCGUUAGCUUCGCUACCGAAGGGGUCGAUACCCCCGACAGCUAGUAUCCAUAGUUUACGGCGUGGACUAC
rnacentral:misc_RNA from 1 species